GAUCAUCUGUUUUCUAAGUGAAAUCGACUAGAAAUCACGUCGAUAACUAUGUCAAGAUCUUUUUCUUUCCCAAUUUUUGUCUAUUAGAAGUAGUUUUUAUCAAUUUAAUAUUCAAAUCUAUUUCAAGUUUCAAUUAGUAAACCAACUCUUUUUUGCCUGUCAAGAAGAAGAUUGUUUCAAGAAUGAAAUUCUUCAUCUUAAUUGUCUGCCUUUUUGGAACUGUAUUUGCUCAGAGUCAUCCUGUAAAAUACAAACCGCUCCCUGUCGAUGAUUCAACUGUUAUAAAGUUAGCUAACCAAGCCGUUGCUAAAAUCAACGCAGAGGGAAAUGGUAAGUUUUACAAUAAACUGAUCGAGAUCAAAGAAGCUAGAUCUAAACUCCGCCAUUCUAAAAUUACUUAUACGAUUAAAGUAAUCUUACGAAAAACUUAUUCUCACAAAUCCAAACCGUACACUGAUGCUUGUGGAAUCAACGAUACUGCACCUCCUAAACUAUGCACCAUCGAUGCAUAUGUACGUGUUGGUUCUGACGAAAGCAAGAUCGUCAUAUUACGUUGUGAAACAAUUCAUAAGCCUGUAAAAUGAUUUUUCCAAUUUUUCUUGGUACAUGUGAUUGAAGUACAUGAUAUGGAAAAAGCUAAUUGUGCGAUUUAAGAUUAGCAGAUUUCAAAACAAAUUCGUUGUCCGGGCCAAAACGGCGGAGAUUUGAUUGUUGUUAAUUUCGAAUUGGUGGGACUUUUUUAUGAAUUUUCGGUCAGUAAUACCUGAAUAUCUAAGAAUUGUUUUGCAAUUAAUAGAGUAGAAUUAUUUGGUUUCGCUGAUAAAUUAGAACAAUCCAAGUCAAAAAUUUUUAUUUUGGCGAAAAUUCCAAAAAAUCCUAGGGUUUUCCCUAAAUCGCUAGCUUUUUUCAAUUUUUGGAUAUUUUUUGAUAAUUGAAUGAAAGUGUUUGAUUUUUUUGAAGAAAUUAAAAAACCAU